UCAGACGAUGCGUCAUGCAUAUCAAUAAGCGGAGGAAAAGAAACUAACAAGGAUUCCCUUAGUAACGGCGAGUGAAGCGGGAAGAGCUCAAAUUUGAAAUCUUCAAGGUUUUACCUUGACGAGUUGUAGUUUAAAGAAGUGUUUUCUGUUGAAGUUUUGGUAAAAGUUCUUUGGAAUAGGACAUCAUAGAGGGUGAGAAUCCCGUAUUUGACCAUUAUUUUCAGCUGUGUGAUACACUUUCAAAGAGUCGGAUUGUUUGGGAAUGCAGUCCAAAAUGAGUGGUAAAUUUCAUCUAAAGCUAAAUAUUGGCGAGAGACCGAUAGCGAACAAGUACCGUGAGGGAAAGAUGAAAAGAACUUUGAAAAGAGAGUUAAACAGUACGUGAAAUUGUCAAAAGGGAAGCGUUUGACACCAGUGUUGUUUUCUCGAAAAUCAAUUAAAAAGAGUUGGAUUUUGUGUUGUAUUGACCUUAACAGCUUGCUUCACUCUUUUCCUGCUUUUUUUAAUGCACUUUUCGUUUAACAAGUCAACAUCAGUUUCUUUUGUUGUAAAAGGGUCAUUGGAAGGUGGCUUUCUCUUCGGAGAAAGUGUUUAUAGCCUUUGAUCUCUGCAAUCGGAGAGACUGAGGUCUGCAGCGUAGAUCCUUCGGGGUUAGAUACAUUUGUGCUAAGCUACAGCUUUUCAUAGACAACUUGUUGACUAUGUUUAGUCUUGUAACUUACCCGCUUAUGCUAUUUUAUCCUACGCUUAGGAUGUUGAUAUGCAUGACUGAUAU
rnacentral:rRNA from 1 species